rnacentral:snRNA from 1 species
GUCCCUUCGGGGACAUUUGGUCAAUUUGAAACGAUACAGAGAAGGUUCGCAUUCCUAUCCUUCGACUGCCACAAGACAAUUGCUAAUUUGAUUUAUAGAUUAGCAUGGCCCCUGCACUAAGGAUGACACGCUUCUCAAAGAGUGCUACAAGUUUUUU